rnacentral:rRNA from 1 species
AUACAGAGGGUGCAAGCGUUAAUCGGAAUUACUGGGCGUAAAGCGCGCGUAGGUGGUUAGUUAAGUUGGAUGUGAAAGCCCUGGGCUCAACCUGGGAAUGGCAUUCAAAACUGGCUGACUAGAGUAUGGUAGAGGGAAGGGGAAUUCCAGGUGUAGCGGUGAAAUGCGUAGAUAUCUGGAGGAACAUCAGUGGCGAAGGCGCCUUCCUGGACUAAUACUGACACUGAGGUGCGAAAGCGUGGGUAGCAAACAGGAUUAGAAACCCUAGUAGUCC